rnacentral:rRNA from 1 species
CUUGACGAUCAUAGAGCGUUGGAACCACCUGAUCCCUUCCCGAACUCAGAAGUGAAACGACGCAUCGCCGAUGGUAGUGUGG